UUUCAUGGGGCUGGUUUUGUAACUGACAAAUGAAGGGAAAUUCGUGGCUUUUGGUGAGAGGAGCUCUUGGAUAAGUGUUUGAGAAAAAUGGGUUAACAAGUGACCUCUUUCUCUCUUCAAUCCUAUAUAUAACAUGGUGUAAUUCCUAGAUCUGAUCAUGGGGGCAGGUUUGGCUGAUUAAAGGCUAGUACUUAGACCACAUGUCUAGCAAAAGUUGGUCACCAACUAAAGUUAUG
rnacentral:lncRNA from 1 species